GGGCUUGUAGCUCAGCAGGUUAGAGCACCUGACUCAUAAUCAGGGGGUCCAUGGUUCGAGCCCAUGCUGGCCCACAA
rnacentral:tRNA from 1 species